UUCUGACGGUUAAAUAUGAUUUGCAAGUGUAACUUGACGAAACUGUAAGUCCCACGAUGGUUUUAUCUUAGCAUUUAUUUCGAGGACAUGUUUUAAGACAAUUCAACGAAAUUUCUUGAGAAUUUUUAUGUGGAUGAUUGGGGUACGGUCACCAUGUUCAUGGCGACUAGGGAUCACAUAUGUUCCAAGAUCUACUCACAAAUGCUCAUUUUUGGCCCAAUGUCCAAAUUCACAUCGAUAAGAAGUGGGUGAUGCUGGUGAAGCGCCUCUUAUGGAGAUUUAAAGGAAAUUAUACUAUUCGUGUCCAUGGGUCACACGUUGAGAAGUUCCUCGAUAUGGUUCAGGGAAAAAUCGCUUUUGGAUUAGUGGUUUCCUAUGCCUUCAUGAUUGAAUAGAUGUGAAUGUGCCAUUUAGUGUAUUCAUCAUGAACUCGUUUGAGCGCCAACAUAAUACAAAAGUGGUUGGUUUCCUUUUGUGUACUGUGCGCAGCAUGGCAGUGAGUUUGCGAAGAGAGUACGGGGGGUUCUGCCGAAUUGAACGCCUCAACGUCUAGAGGGUAGUGUUGCCUUGCUCACACAGAUUUUAGAACCUGAGAGCACGACAGUCAGCGCACGGAGGAGACUGUGGCAGUGCCGAGAUCAGCAACAUCACAACAUCCAGUUCAUAUUCAUAACCCAAGAGCUUGACAUUACGGUGCCCGGAUGGGAGCGUUGCAUCGCCAUUAUCGCGGCACCAGUAAUCGAUUGUAUGCAAUUUUCUCUUAAAGUCUCAGCUUAUCUGCGGGAAUGGUUCAUGAAAAAGGAUUGAAUUUAGAGUUUUCUCGUUCGAAUAAGAGGAGUAUCUUGAAGUGUUCUAAACUUAUGAGGGGCUUGAGUGUGGUAUACUUGUAUAAUUCGUCUCAUUUUCUCCGCAGUAGAUUUUUUAGAGUCCCGUGACACUUUGUGAUUUUUCACAUUCUCGGAUUGAAUCCGUUUCACUUCUCUUCCAACACCUUCUCUA